rnacentral:rRNA from 1 species
GAUGAACGCCGGCGGCGUGCCUAAUACAUGCAAGUCGAGCGAAUGGAUUAAGAGCUUGCUCUUAUGAAGUUAGCGGCGGACGGGUGAGUAACACGUGGGUAACCUGCCCAUAAGACUGGGAUAACUCCGGGAAACCGGGGCUAAUACCGGAUAACAUUUUGAACCGCAUGGUUCGAAAUUGAAAGGCGGCUUCGGCUGUCACUUAUGGAUGGACCCGCGUCGCAUUAGCUAGUUGGCGAGGUAACGGCUCACCAAGGCAACGAUGCGUAGCCGACCUGAGAGGGUGAUCGGCCACACUGGGACUGAGACACGGCCCAGACUCCUACGGGAGGUAGCAGUAGGGAAUCUUCCGCAAUGGACGAAAGUCUGACGGAGCAACGCCGCGUGAGUGAUGAAGGCUUUCGGGUCGUAAAACUCUGUUGUUAGGGAAGAACAAGUGCUAGUUGAAUAAGCUGGCACCUUGACGGUACCUAACCAGAAAGCCACGGCUAACUACGUGCCAGCCGCCGCAGUAA